UGGGGAAUUUUGCACAAUGGGGGAAACCCUGAUGCAGCGACGCCGCGUGAUUUAGAAGGCCUUCGGGUUGUAAAAAUCUUUUUUAUGGGAUGAAAAUGACAGUACCAUAAGAAUAAGGUCCGGCUAAAUACGUGCCAGCAGCCGCGGUAAUACGUAUGGACCGAGCGUUGUCCGGAAUCAUUGGGCGUAAAGGGUACGUAGGCGGGUAAGCAAGUUAGAAGUGAAAUCCUGUAGCUCAACUACAGUAAGCUUUUAAAACUGCUCAUCUUGAGAUAUGGAAGGGAAAGUGGAAUUCCUAGUGUAGCGGUGAAAUGCGCAGAUAUUAGGAGGAAUACCGGUGGCGAAGGCGACUUUCUGGCCAUAAUCUGACGCUGAGGUACGAAAGCGUGGGUAGCAAACAGG
rnacentral:rRNA from 1 species